GAUGAACGCUGGCGGCGUGCCUAAUACAUGCAAGUCGAGCGAAUGGAUUAAGAGCUUGCUCUUAUGAAGUUAGCGGCGGACGGGUGAGUAACACGUGGGUAACCUGCCCAUAAGACUGGGAUAACUCCGGGAAACCGGGGCUAAUACCGGAUAAUAUUUUGAACUGCAUGGUUCAAAAUUGAAAGGCGGCUUCGGCUGUCACUUAUGGAUGGACCCGCGUCGCAUUAGCUAGUUGGUGAGGUAACGGCUCACCAAGGCAACGAUGCGUAGCCGACCUGAGAGGGUGAACGGCAACACUGGGACUGAGACACGGCCCAGACUCCUACGGGAGGCAGCAGUAGGGAAUCUUCCGAAAUGGACGAAAGUCUGACGGAGCAACGCCGCGUGAGUGAUGAAGGCUUUCGGGUCGUAAAACUCUGUUGUUAGGGAAGAACAAGUGCUAGUUGAAUAAGCUGGCACCUUGACGGUACCUAACCAGAAAGCCACGGCUAACUACGUGCCAGCCGCCGCAGUAA
rnacentral:rRNA from 1 species